AUGCACCAGGAAUUGCUGCCGGAACUCUACACUAAGCAAGUGCUCUCUUACUGAGCCUCAUACCCAGCCCUUUGAUUCCUUCAACAACACCAAUCAAAGUAUGAUACAAAGCAAAACUGGACCCUCACCAGAAGCGGAUGCUGACUGUACACACUUGGACUUCCAAAACUAUAUGGCUGACAGACAAGUAAUAAUCUAACAAAUGGCUAGAAAGGAGUGAAAACCAAAAGCAACUUCUCUGCAAAGCAACAGCCACAAAGAUAACAGAGACUGUGCUAUGAUCAAGUAGCUGCCAUAGUAUUCAGAAAAGAGAGUGUGAUCUUCUGGAAAUGGACAAAUAAAUGUGCAGCAUGUCAGAGUCCUGUGUUCCACUCAAACUGUUUCCCUUUAGUGGCCUCUUCUCAUGACAGAGCCUUGCAGACAGAUUGCCUUUGAGUAAGUUGCAAAUGUCACAGAGCCCGAAAAGAGCCAGAGGGGGACUUGAAGAGAAGACUACUAUGAAACAAGGAUGCAAUUAUCUCAAAUGAAAAGCAGUUAUGUGAUUAACUUAGUGUCCGGAUCACCACAGCCCCGGGACAUACUGGAAAGCUCAGCAGUUGGUUCCAUUCACAUGUUCCAUCCAAGUGACAAAACAUUGAAAGAGAACAUGUUAUGGUCUCCAGUAAUAAAGUGUUCUUUCC
rnacentral:lncRNA from 1 species